CAGCAGCAGCCGCGGUAAUACGUAGGGUGCAAGCGUUAAUCGGAAUUACUGGGCGUAAAGCGUGCGCAGGCGGUUAUGUAAGACAGCUGUGAAAUCCCCGGGCUUAACUUGGGAACUGCAUUUGAAACUGGCAGGCUAGAGUCUCGUAGAGGGGGGUAGAAUUCCAGGUGUAGCGGUGAAAUGCGUAGAGAUCUGGAGGAAUACCGGUGGCGAAGGCGGCCCCCUGGACGAAGACUGACGCUCAGGUACGAAAGCGUGGGGAGCAAACAGGAUUAGAUACCCCAGUAGUCCCUGUCUCUUAUAC
rnacentral:rRNA from 1 species